GGAGAGAUGACCGAGCUGGCCGAAGGUGCUCGCCUGCUAAGCGAGUGUGGGAGGAAACUUCCACCGAGGGUUCGAAUCCCUCUCUCUCCGCCA
rnacentral:tRNA from 1 species